CCAGAAACCACUGUUGGGCCUUACUCAGGCCACUAAAGCUGAACUCUUCUAGAAGAGCCCCCGGGGUGUACAGAGGCCACAGGAUGCCAGUUUACAGGUGUGGUGUUCGCAUCGAGGAUACUGGCAGGACCAGCAGCUCCAGCGCCUCGUCCCCAGUGCUGGCAACAAGCCACCCGGUCCCAAAGGUGGGUUUCUUCAUCAGUAGCCUUCCCUGGGAAACAGGGCGUUGUGGAUGA
rnacentral:lncRNA from 1 species